rnacentral:rRNA from 1 species
AUCGAACGCUGGCGGCAGGCCUAACACAUGCAAGUCGAGCGAGCGGCGGACGGGAGAGUAAUGCCUGGGACUUGCCCAGUCGAGGGGGAUAACAGUUGGAAACGACUGCUAAUACCGCAUACGAUUGGAUUGCCCAGGUGGGAUUAGCUAUUGGGUGAGGUAAUGGCUCACCAAGGCGACGAUCCCUAGCGGGUCUGAGAGGAGGAUGAGCAACACUGGAACGGGGACACGGUCCGAACUCCAACGGUGGGAGGAGGUGGGGAAUAUUGGACAAUGGGGGAAACCCUGAUGCGGCAAUGCGGCUGGGUUAAGGAGGGCCUUCGGGUUGAAAGGCACGUUCAGCGGGGAGACGUUACUCGCAGAGAAAGCACCGGCUAACUCCGUGCCAGCAGCCGCGGUAAUAC